rnacentral:rRNA from 1 species
UACGGAGGGUGCAAGCGUUAUCCGGAUUCACUGGGUUUAAAGGGUGCGUAGGAGGGCAGGUAAGUCAGUGGUGAAAUCCCCGAGCUUAACUUGGGAACUGCCGUUGAUACUAUCUGUCUUGAAUAUCGUGGAGGUGAGCGGAAUAUGUCAUGUAGCGGUGAAAUGCUUAGAUAUGACAUAGAACACCAAUUGCGAGGGCAGCUCGCUACACGAAUAUUGACUCUGAGGCACGAAAGCGUGGGGAUCAAACAGG